GUGCUCCCCCGCCAAUUCCUUUAAGUUUCAACCUUGCGGUCGUACUUCCCAAGUGGCCCGCUUCACGGCUUCCCUACGGCACCACGGCAGUUCACGACUGCCGUGACACCUAGCGGGCAUCGUUUACGGCUAGGACUACCCGGGUAUCUAAUCCGGUUCGUGCCCCUAGCUUUCGUCCCUCACCGUCGGACCUGUUCUGGUAGGACGCCUUCGCCACCGGUGGUCCCCAGAGGAUUACAGGAUUUCACUCCUACCCCCUGAGUACCUCCUACCCCUCCCAGUCCCAAGCAAUGUAGUAUCCCGCAGACGCCCAACGGUUAAGCCGCUGGAUUUCCCACAAGACUUGCAAAGCCGGCUACGGACCCUUUAGACUCAAUAAUAUCGGCCACCACUCGAGCCGCCGGUAUUACCGCGGCGGCUGGCACCGGUCUUGCCCGGCCCUUGCUAACAGCCGUUUUUUAGACAGCUGGACAGACACCUAAUGUAGAUGCCACUCGAUGUUCCCCUAUCGCAGUUGCCUGCAUUGUAGAGUUUUCGCGCCUGCUGCGCCCCGUAGGGCCUGGAUUCGUGUCUCAGAAUCCAUCUCCGGGCUCUUGCUCCCACAACCCGUACUGAUAAUCGGCACGCCGGUACUUUACACCGGCGUCAACCUAAUCAGCCGCAGACCCAUUCAAAGGCGCCAGAGCUUUCAAUCAAAAAACCCUUCCAGUACUCUUGACCUAUCCGGUAUUAUCCCCAGUUUCCCGGAGUUAUCCCAGACCUUUGGGUAGGUUGUCCACGUGUUACUGAGCCGU
rnacentral:rRNA from 1 species